GAUGAAUGCUGGCGGCGUGCCUAAUACAUGCAAGUCGAGCGGUAAGGCCCUUCGGGGUACACGAGCGGCGGACGGCUGAGUAACGCGUGGGAACAUGCCCCAAAGUGAGGGAUAACGCACCGAAAGGUGUGCUAAUACCGCAUAUGGUCUUCGGAUUAAAGGAUUUAUCCGCUUUGGGAGUGGCCCGCGUACGAUUAGAUUGUUGGUGAGGUAACGGCUCACCAAGUCGACGAUCGUUAACUGGUCUGAGAGGAUGAUCAGUCAGACUGGAACUGAGACACGGUCCAGACUCCUACGGGAGGCAGCAGUAAGGAAUCUUCCACAAUGGGCGAAAGCCUGAUGGAGCAACGCCGCGUGCAGGAUGAAGGCCCUCGGGUCGUAAACUGCGUUUAUGAGUGAAGAAUAUGACGGUAACUCGAUGAAUAAGCACCGGCUAACUACGUG
rnacentral:rRNA from 1 species